rnacentral:lncRNA from 1 species
UGAGGCACAGCAGUCCCAUUGAAGAUUUAGUUGGACUGCUGACUGUGAUUCAGGAACCAGUGUGUUGCACAACAUCUCAGAUAGAACCAGUGUGUUGCACAACAUCUCAGAUAGAUUUGUAAUGCAUAAGGUUUUCUCAGGUCACACCCUGUACAGCCCAAAAUGACCCUGUAGUUGGUAUUGUAUUAGUUUUUAUUUAAACAUGAAAAUGGGCAAAAAAUGACAUAGGUUUACUCUUAAGGACUAGGCAUGGGUUUCUGUAAAAAACCUUUUGAGAUCGUGCUCAUUUUUAACGGCACUAAAAAUGAAUACAUUUUGAACUGAAUUAAGUACCCCAGCAGAUCAUGCUGGAAGAUAAAGCAAUUAAUGAUCCUAAGGAAGUUUGUAAUGCUUUCAAUAAUCAUUUUAUCCAAUGCGGCACUUUGUUUGACCUUUCUAAUUUCCCUGAUGUACCGGAUGGAGUGCUAGAUAACUUCACUGUUGAUGCCAGGUCACUGGGAACUGACCCAACCACAUCCUUCUCUUUUAGACUAAUACAACAGCAUGAAGUCCUCUCUGCUCUUCGUAAUUCUAAAUGUAUGAAGAGCUCAGUGGGUGCAGACCAGUUAGACCCACGUCUCUUGAAGCUUGCUGCCCCCAUUAUAGCCAGACCCUUGACCCACAUUUUUAAUCUAUCACUUUUUUCUGGCUACAUUCCUAGCAUCUGGAAAUCUGCAUUAGUGGUGCCCCUUCAUAAAGGUGGAGACCCAAAUGAUAUGAACAAUUAUAGGCCGAUCUCCAAGCUCCCAUGCCUAGCCAAAAUGUUGGAAUCCUUUGUAAAUGAGCAAAUUAGCUCUUUUCUAUCUUUAAACUCAAUUUUAUGCCCCUUUCAAUCAGGUUUCAGAGCUGGCCACAGUACCAUUACUGCAACAACCCUUGUGGUAAAUGACAUAGCCUCUGCUGUAGACAAGAAACAAUGUUGUGCCGCUUUAUUUAUUGACCUGUCGAAAGCUUUUGAUACAGUAAACCAUGAGAUACUUUUUGGCAAACUGGACUCCCUGGGAUUUGAUAAUGUCUCCCUCAGAUGGUUAAAAAACUACUUCACGGGUAGAA